CAAGUCGUACGAGAAAUCCUGGGCAACUGGGAGAGUAAAGUGGCGCACGGGUGAGUAACGCGUGGGUAACCUGCCCUUGAAUUGGGGAUAACUCCUCGAAAGGGGAGUUAAUACCGAAUAAUAUUCCAAUUCCUACGGGAGCUGGAAUCAAAGGUGGCCUCUGCAUGCAAGCUAUCGUUUAAGGAUGGGCCCGCGUACCAUUAGCUCGUUGGUAGGGUAAUGGCCUACCAAGGCAACGAUGGUUAGCUGGUCUGAGAGGAUGGCCAGCCACACUGGAACUGAGACACGGUCCAGACUCCUACGGGAGGCAGCAGUGGGGAAUCUUGCGCAAUGGGGGAAACCUUGACGCAGCAACGCCGCGUGGGUGAUGAAGGCCUUCGGGUCGUAAAGCCCUGUCAGGUGGGAAGAAACUUGUGGAUGUUAAUACCAUCCACACUUGACGGUACCACCGGAGGAAGCACCGGCUAACUCCGUGCCAGCAGCCGCGGU
rnacentral:rRNA from 1 species